rnacentral:tRNA from 1 species
AGUAGCUCAGCUGGAUAGAGCAACGGCCUUCUAAGCCGUGUGCCGGGGGUUCGAAUCCCUCCUG